GACGAACGCUGGCGGCGCGCUUAACACAUGCAAGUCGAACGGAAAGGCCUGCUUUCCCUUGUGGAUUGCGGGUACUCGAGUGGCGAACGGGUGAGUAACACGUGAGUGAUCUGCCCCCAACUUGGGUAUAAGCCUGGGAAACUGGGUCUAAUUCCCGAUAGGACUGCAGGGUGGUGCCUGUGGUGGAAAACGAUUUUCUAGUGGUUGGGGAUGAGCUCGCGGCCUAUCAGCUUGUUGGUGGGGUAAUGGCCUACCAAGGCGGCGACGGGUAGCCGGCCUGGGAGGGUGGACGGCCACAUUGGGACUGAGAUACGGCCCAGACUCCUACGGGAGGCAGCAGUGGGGAAUAUUGCACAAUGGGCGGAAGCCUGAUGCAGCGACGCCGCGUGGGGGAUGACGGCCUUCGGGUUGUAGACUCCUUUCGACCGCGAGGAAGCCACCUGGUUGGAAGGGUGGUGACGGUAGUGGUAGAAGAAGCACCGGCUAACUACGUG
rnacentral:rRNA from 1 species